UACGUAGGGGGCAAGCGUUGUCCGGAAUCAUUGGGCGUAAAGAGUGUGUAGGCGGUGCUCUAAGUCUGUUGUGAAAUCUCCCGGCUUAACUGGGAGGGUGCAGCGGAAACUGGAAUGCUCGAGUAUGGGAGAGGUAAGCGGAAUUCCUGGUGUAGCGGUGAAAUGCGUAGAUAUCAGGAGGAACACCUGUGGUGUAGACAGCUUACUGGACCAUCACUGACGCUGAGACACGAAAGCGUGGGUAGCAAACAGG
rnacentral:rRNA from 1 species